GCUCCCUCGAAAACGCCGUCUGUGCUGUUAAAAAGUUGUGGUUGAUAUACAGUUUGUAUUGGUUAAAAGAUGCAUGCAUAUGAAGAAAGUUAAUAUGAUUUUUUUUCUAAACAGGCUGGUAUGGAAAAAACUUGGCCUAUAGCAUAAAUAAAGAAAUAACGUUCUUAAUCACGCUAUGUCAUACCUAUUGGACCUUGUGUACUGUUUCCUUGUACUUUUGUAGAAUAUUUUGGAAUCGAUGCAUUCUGA
rnacentral:lncRNA from 1 species